rnacentral:rRNA from 1 species
UACUACGGCUAUGCCACCCUGAACGUGCCCGAUCUUGUCUGAUCUCGGAAGCCAAGCAGGGUCGAGCCUGGUUAGUACUUGGAUAGGAGACCACCUUGGAAUACCAAGUGCUGUAGGAG